GGUCAAGUGAAGAAGCGCAUACGGUGGAUGCCUUGGCAGUCAGAGGCGAUGAAAGACGUGGUAGCCUGCGAAAAGCUUUGGGGAGUCGGCAAACAGACUGUGAUCCAGAGAUCUCUGAAUGGGGGAACCCAGCCAGCACAAGCUGGUUAUCUUGUACUGAAUACAUAGGUGCAAGAGGCGAACCAGGGGAACUGAAACAUCUAAGUACCCUGAGGAAAAGAAAUCAACCGAGAUUCCCUUAGUAGUGGCGAGCGAACGGGGACCAGCCCUUAAGUUGAUUUGAGAUUAGUGGAACGCUCUGGAAAGUGCGGCCAUAGUGGGUGAUAGCCCCGUACACGAAAAUCUCUUAUCAAUGAAAUCGAGUAGGACGGAGCACGAGAAACUUUGUCUGAAUAUGGGGGGACCAUCCUCCAAGGCUAAAUACUACUGACUGACCGAUA
rnacentral:rRNA from 1 species